UACAGAGGGUGCGAGCGUUAAUCGGAAUUACUGGGCGUAAAGCGUGCGUAGACGGUUAUUUAAGUCGGGUGUGAAAGCCCCGGGCUCAACCUGGGAAUUGCAUUCGAGACUGAAUAGCUAGGGUACGGUAGAGGGAAGUGGAAUUUCCGGUGUAGCGGUGAAAUGCGUAGAUAUCGGAAGGAACAUCAGUGGCGAAAGCGACUUCCUGGACCAGUACCGACGUUCAGGCACGAAAGCGUGGGGAGCAAACAGGAUUAGAAACCCCAGUAGUCC
rnacentral:rRNA from 1 species